UACAGAGGGUGCGAGCGUUGUCCGGAAUCACUGGGCGUAAAGGGCGCGUAGGCGGCCCCUUAAGCGUGCGGUGAAAGCCCGGGGCUCAACCCCGGGUCGGCCGUGCGUACUGGGGGGCUGGAGCCGAUCAGAGGCAGGCGGAAUUCCGGGUGUAGCGGUGGAAUGCGCAGAUAUCAGGAAGAACACCCGUGGCGAAGGCGGCUUUCUGGGACGGUACUGACGCUGAGACGCGAAAGCGUGGGGAGCGAACAGG
rnacentral:rRNA from 1 species